rnacentral:misc_RNA from 1 species
UAACCACCUGUCUCUCCUAGUUUGG